UUGCACAGUCAGUCACAGACAGAGACAGACAUGACAUUACACGUCGUAACUUUCGUAUUAAGUUACUUAAAAAGUUUAACAACGGAGAUCGGAUAACAAGUUAACUGCUUUAAAAUAAUUUCAGCUGUACCAGAAGUUUUCAUGUACCUUGCCAACUAGGUCCUCGUGACAAUAGAAAUGAAAUGGUCUAAUCCAAUAAUGCAAGCUCACAACCUAUGUCUUCUGAAGAAAAAUCAUCUCUGUUGAAGUUGUAAAUCUUCAAGAUAUUGAUGCCUUCCCCAGAUCAAAUUCUUUGUUGCUGAGAAGAGAAAGAAUUCAUCAUUUUGUGUGCAACAGACCGAAUGAGAACCAUUUUGUUGCCCAUCCAAGGAUAAGGAAAAGGCCAACACCACAAACACGGUCAACAAGCCAUUUUGUUGCCCAUCCAAGGAUAAGGAAAAGGCCAACACCACCAACACGGUCAAAAAGGUUUAGCGUUUAUGUUCGCGUAGUUGCUGUCCGAUGUGGCGCACGUUGUUGCAGCCUAUGGUGUCUGGUGAAGGAUCUUUCUGCAUCAAGUUCAACUGGUCGUUCCUUGGUGGUGUUGUGUUACCAAAAUUGCAUCUUUAUAUUGUUAAAUUGUCAUCGUGACUAUGCAGUUUACCGUUUAUAAGUUCAGAAGCAACAAAAACAAAUAUGGGAUGUUUAUGUCAACAAAUAAUAAACAUGUUUUUGGGAUUGGGAAAGGAAAGUGGAGGAUGUUGGAGGGGGGGAUAUUUCAAGUUUGGAUAAAAAGUCAGUUACUAUAACCCUACAAACUUCCACACCAAUUAAUCUCCAAGUCCCACUAACUUAAACCUUCCAAUUCUUCAAACCCCACAAACUACAUCUACCAACUCUCAAAUUUAUACCAUAAACCACAUAAACCAUUGUUAAACCCUAACAAUGUGAUGUCUGUAAUAAAUAACAAAUUUAAUACAUGAAA